rnacentral:rRNA from 1 species
UACGAAGGGGGCAAGCGUUAAUCGGAAUUACUGGGCGUAAAGCGCGCGUAGGUGGUUCAGUAAGUUGGAAGUGAAAUCCCCGGGCUCAACCUGGGAACUGCUUUCAAAACUGCUGAGCUAGGGUACGGUAGAGGGUGGUGGAAUUUCCUGUGUAGCGGUGAAAUGCGUAGAUAUAGGAAGGAACACCAGGGGCGAAGGCGACCACCUGGA